UGGCUAAGCAACCCUACAAUUUAAGAA
rnacentral:piRNA from 1 species